rnacentral:rRNA from 1 species
CGAGUGUAGAGGUGAAAUUCGUAGAUAUUCGGUGGAACACCAGUGGCGAAGGCGACUAACUGGACUGAUACUGACGCUGAGGUGCGAAAGUGUGGGGAGCAAACAGGAUUAGAUACCCUGGUAGUCCACACCGUAAACGAUGAAUGCCAGUCGUCGGGUAGUAUACUAUUCGGUGACACACCUAACGGA